rnacentral:rRNA from 1 species
UGGGGAAUUUUGGACAAUGGACGCAAGUCUGAUCCAGCAAUGCCGCGUGAGUGAAGAAGGCCUUCGGGUUGUAAAGCUCUUUUAUCGGGAAAGAAUGCUGCAGGGCUAAUACCCCUGUGGAGUGACGGUACCCGAGGAAUAAGCACCGGCUAACUACGUGCCAGCAGCCGCGGUAAUACGUAGGGUGCAAGCGUUAAUCGGAAUUACUGGGCGUAAAGCGUGCGCAGGCGGUUGGGUAAGCAAGAUGUGAAAUCCCCGAGCUCAACUUGGGAACUGCAUUUUGAACUGCCCGGCUAGAGUACGUCAGAGGGAGGUGGAAUUCCACGUGUAGCAGUGAAAUGCGUAGAGAUGUGGAGGAACACCGAUGGCGAAGGCAGCCUCCUGGGACUGUACUGACGCU